GAUUGACCCAACGCGUGAUCCGCCUGCGUCAUAAGGCGAUAUACUACGCAUAAAAAUAGUGAUGCAAUACAUAGAGGAGUUAAAAUGGAUUUCAAGUCUGAUCUAGAAUAUGCGACGAGCAAGCUGAAGAUAGAGUUUAGUUUUAGCGACUACCAAUUGAAAGCCCUAAAGAGUCUUUAUGAUUUGAAAGAUACGAUCGCAGUUCUCCUAACUGGCUCAGGAAAAAGCAUUAUUUUUCAGGGGUUCAGAUUUCUGCAAAGCGUUCAACAGACUUGGAGACCUGACAUGUUUGUUUCCCAAAAUACCUCACUUGGCACUUACAGCGACAGCAACACCAAAUGCUAUAGAAAACCUUAUUGAAAGCCUCCAAUUCAAGAACACCACAAAAGUAUUAGCCAACCCUGACUGCCCUAAUAUUUCUAUCUAUCCAUCUAUACUGUCUAACUCCCCUUGCGGGUAUUAUUGACAGGUGCGCAGUCAGUGCAAGAUAAAAGUGUUAAAAGUGAAUAAGUGAGAAAGAUAAAAGUAUUAAUCAUGCAUGGUGAAGUGAUUUAAGGUUAAAGCUGAUAAAAAACAUGUCUCUCGGAGUUCAAGGGGCAGAUGGGGAAAGCAGGGACCGUUUAAACCCUUCAAGAUCAGGAUGUAAUACUGUAGUGGCAGGGAGGUUGUUUCACAUCACAAUAGAACUUGGGAAAAAUGAAAACUUAUAAUAAUUUGCAGUGGUAUGGAUCGGUCUGAAAGAGAGGGGGUGCAUGUGACGAGUGAAUCUGGUGGGUCGCUCGAUAUACGACGGCAGCGGCACGGCUAACAAUUGAACAAUUUUGAAAAAGAUUAUUAAUUAAGUGUCAUUUCGUCUGUCUUGUAGGGUCUGCCAACCAAGUUCCUGUUGCAUGGAGGUGACACUGUCACAUGGAGAAUAAUUAUGCUUAACCCAGCGGACUGCUCGACGCUUUACUUUUUCAAUUUUUUGUAUAUUUUGUAAAGUGUGAGGACUCGAUACGGAAGAAGCAUAUUCAACCUGUGGUCUAACUAUUGUCUUGUAUGCCAGCUGGCGAAUGUUGGAAUUUCUUGUCUGUAUGUUCCUGUGUAGAAAACCAAGAGAUUUAUUAGCGUUAUUUGUAAUUCUAUUUAUAUGGGUGUUCCAGGAGGUUUAUUGUUUGGGGAAAAAUAAGAAAGAAUGCCAAAUAUUCACAAAUAUGAAAAGUAUGAUAUGAUAAUGCAUGAAGAGCUGCCUGAAUUAAAAAAGCAACAUAUUGAGUUUAUAGUCACCAUAAAUUAUGUACUGUGAUAAUUUGGAAUCUCUAGGCUAUUGCUUUUAACUAGUUUGCUAUGAACUAGGAAAACAUGCAUAUUGUCCUGAAUCCAGUACACAACCAGAAGAUUGAAUUGUAGCACAAUUUCUCAAAAACUACAAGGACAGAAUGAAAGCUCACAUUAUUUCUGAGCUUAGAAAGAAAAAUCCAAAAGUUUGUUUAGUGCUUGAAACAGUUGCCUUAGUUAUGGGUCUAAACGCGCCUUCGAUUGCAAGAGUUAUUCAUAUGCAACCACCUACAACACUUGAAAAGUACAUGCAAGAAAUCUGUAGAGCAGGUUGCAACGGUAAACCUGCAAGUGCCUUGACUGUGUUAUUAUAACAACGGUGACAUUUUGAAAAACAGGAAAGGAAUGGACAUUGAAAUGUUCUCAUACAUUCAAAACAAUUCCACAUGCUUGCGCUUACAUUUGGUUAAUCAUUUUGGCUACAGUAACAGCAGUGUCUUGUUUUCAGGGAACCAAAAUAGUUGUUGUAGUAGUUGUAUGGCUGGUUAAAUGACUGAGAGAUGCCAAUUAGAACCAUUUUCACUCUGAACCAUGAAAGAAUUUAUUCACAACUAUGUUUAAAGUACUUGUUUGUUUUUAUUCACCAUUACAUACAUUAUAUAAACAUGCAAUUUAAAGUAUAUAUUAAGAACAGGGACUAUACAAACAGGUAUGUAUAGGUCCCUGCUAGAAUUGGGCAACAUCUUUCAAUCAAGUACAUGCUAUGUUUUAUCCUUAAACAUGACACAGUUGCAUGACCUUUCACAUUUGAUCAAUCCAAAAUUAAUUAACUUGAAAUCGAAUAAGAAAUACCGAUGUUUCCUGGUCACAUUUUGUGAAAAUAGUCUAAAAAAGAUGUAUUUUAAUGCGAAAGACGAUGUCAUGUUAAGUGGAGUAUUUAAAAACUAUAACAAAUUUGACGGAUUUUACAUUUUAAUGUUGUUUUUUUGCAAUCAGGUCAAUAUCAAGGUGUUUAUAGUGUAUUCUUAAUGUUUAUGUUGGGUACUUAUCAGUUCUGAUUAUGAUGACUUCCUUAAUGCAUACAUAUGUGUUACACUAUGUGUAGUCCAACUAAUUUAGGUAAAAAGUGGACAAUGUUAUUCCAUUUUGCAUCUAUCAAUAUCGAUACUUCUUUAUCCAUUGCAAGAAAAUAAAUGCCUGGUAAAAACAUGACAUUUAUAUUUAAUAUCUUUGCAAUUUUAUAUUGCAUAUUAUAUAAGAAAUGCUAUUAUCACUCUAUAUGUAUAUUGAAAAUCGUUACAAUAACAAUAAACAGCUCUAUGCAACUGGAUUUGCUUGUUUUACUCAUAAAUGUAGCACUAUAUUUUAACAUUUUUCUGAUAAUAUUUUUAAUAUAUACUGGUAUGUGCUUCUAGAAUGAUUAAAUAUAAUAUAAAAAUUAACAUCUCUUAAAGAACAGUUUUAUAGUGCUUUCUUUCUGUAUUAUUUAAGUUUUAACUACCAUACUUUUUGGGCUUAAAUGAACAUAACCAUCAAAGCGCAAUGUAUGUCUAUAUUGUUCCAAUGAAUCAAUAAAUGCAAAUGAUAAAUAUAAAUGUUACUUAUUCACAAUUAUCACAGAAAUCAUUACUAACAAAAAUAUACACCGGCAAUUGUGUGUAAGAUUAAAUACAGGACUUACAUCAUCAAGAAACUCACAAAUGUUGAAAUGAUAUUCACUUUGUGUUAAAAACUUCAAUGAUUAAAAUUUCCAGUAUCCGAGAUCAUACUUAGAUUUAAAUGUUUCAAAAGUACAUAAAAAAAUAAGUUUUUUUUACAAAGGAACACAUUUUAAUGUUUAUCCCAUAAACGUAAUUAAUACCUUUAAAUUUUGUGAGUACCUGGGCUGGUUUUCUAGAAUCUUCUAACAUAAAUCUAAAACUAAAUUUGACUUAGAUGGACAUUUUAUAUCAAUUUACUGUGCCAAAUUCAACAAUUUAUGAUCUCAAAAUGAAAAAUUUACUUCACUGCAUAGAAUAUUAUUUACAGUUGCACAAACAAUGCCAGAAUCAUGUACAUUGAUAUGAAAAGAAUUGGUGAUUUUCUUAGACAAAACUGUUAAUUACAUAUUCAGAAUGUAUAAUUGUAAUAUUCAUUCGUUUUUUAGUACCAAAGCGCGUUUCUCUUACAUUAUUAUUUAUAGUAAUUGCAUAUUUUAUCAUUUUGACUGCAUUUAUAAACUGUAUCAUUUUUUGAGUAUUUACAAAAUCAAAUUUAACAAUUAGUUUUGAUGUAAAAUCAGUUUUUAUAUGCAAGUGUCUAUUUCACUUUCAAAUUAUAACCGCAUAUUAUACAUUAUUGAAAAGAUUAUUCCAAGCUUGAUGUCAUAUUCCAACUUUGCAUUGUGUAUUAAAUUGAACAUUGUAUUGAACUGUAUGGGAAGCUAUAUUGAUUAAGUAAUGUAUCUAUCUAUCUAUAUAUACUGUCUAACCCCCCUUUCGGGUAUUAUCGACAGGUGUGUUGUAUUAUACAAAAUGCAUUAUUUCUACCACAAGUAUACCAUAUAAGGCCUAAUGCUACUAAUUAGGUACUGUAUAAAUUGUAUUCACUAUUAUUUAUAUUAAAUUCAAGUUUUAAAGGCUUCAUCUCCAUUCGUUAGAUACUGAUGGGAAGCAAACAGCAUAAAACCAGAACAGACUGUGAGUUACUCGCAAGCUGUUCUGGUUUUAUGUUGUUUUCACAUAGCAAUUUCCACUUUAGCUCUGAGUGGGUAAGGGUUAACAUACUGAUUUCCUAGUAAAGUGUAAUUGUGAUGAUAAAAAUUACACUAGAAGAUUAUUAAUGCUGGAAAAUGCUGAACAAAUACAUUCUUUCUGUUAAAA